CCUUACGGCCAUACCAGCCUGGGUACGCCCGAUCUCGUCUGAUCUCGGAAGCUAAGCAGGGUCGGGCCUGGUUAGUACUUGGAUGGGAGACCGCCUGGGAAUACCAGGUGCAGUAAGCA
rnacentral:rRNA from 1 species